GCCUUCGUGGUGUAACGGUCAGCAGACUCGGCUCGUAUUCAAGAUGUCCGAGGUUCGAGUCCCGGCGAGGGCA
rfam:Stegodyphus mimosarum contig85813, whole genome shotgun sequence.